AUUGAACGCUGGCGGCAUGCCUUACACAUGCAAGUCGAACGGUAACAGGUUAAGCUGACGAGUGGCGAACGGGUGAGUAAUGUAUCGGAACGGGCCCAGUCGUGGGGGAUAACUGCUCGAAAGAUCAGCUAAUACCGCAUACGACCUGAGGGGGAAAGCGGGGGAUCGCAAGACCUCGCGCGAUUGGAGCGGCCGAUAUCAGAUUAGGUAGUUGGUGAGGUAAAGGCUCACCAAGCCGACGAUCUGUAGCUGGUCUGAGGGGACGACCAGCCACACUGGGACUGAGACACGGCCCAGACUCCUACGGGAGGCAGCAGUGGGGAAUUUUGGACAAUGGGCGCAAGCCUGAUCCAGCCAUGCCGCGUGCGGGAAGAAGGCCUUCGGGUUGUAAACCGCUUUUGUCAGGGAAGAAAAGGUUCUGGCUAAUACCUGGGACUCAUGACGGUACCUGAAGAAUAAGCACCGGCUAACUACGUGCCAGCCGCCGCGGUAACAC
rnacentral:rRNA from 1 species